CACCUGUUACCACCGUUUAAAGAAAAACAGUUACCACCAAUUUUCAGAAUCUAGAUAACUACUCUUUCCAUCAUUUAUAUUUGUAUUCGAUGUUUCUCUACUACUCUUACUGAUCCACACCCAAAAACACAUUUUCUUAUUUUUCUUUCUCGAUCUCUGAAUCUCACUCUUUUAUAAACUGUCUCGGUAUAUCAAGCCUCGAUCACUCACAUGCAAGGUGUCCCUUCAAAGAACUUAGGUUGUAUCUCUUUGUUUCUAAAUAUGAAAAUCUGAAAUACAGAGGGAAAGAAUGAAAUACAUAUAAAUAUUUUUCUGUAGGACCAUUUCUGUAUCCAACAAAAAUAGAAAUGCGGAAGAAGACAAUGGAGCGUUUGCAACAAACGGAGUACAAGAGCAGAAGCCUACAUAAUCUAAAACCAAAUGAUACCAAACACUCUACGGAGGAAAAUGAUGUGAGGCAUCUUUCAAAAGAUGUGGAGAGGCAACAAAAAAGAACUAACACUGCCAGGAGGAGAGUCAACAACUUUGAUAAUCACAAUUCAGUGGUAUAGUACGACUAUUUCAUAAAUCUGUUUUUUAGCAACUCAUAAAUCUGUUUAAUAUCAGAGCAUAUUCAACUAUUUUACAAAUUAUUUGUAAGUAUACUAAAUACAAAUUUAAUAUAUACAUAUAUGUUUAGUUUCA